GACGAACGCUGGCGGCGUGCUUAAUACAUGCAAGUCAACUUGACUUUAGAUAGCAAUAUCGAAAAGUAGGGUGGCGCACGGGUGCGUAACGCGUAGGUAAUCUGCCCUGAGGUCUGACAUAACCCGUCGAAAGGCGGGCUAACAUCAGAUGAUAUAUAAUCACGACAUCGUGGAAAUAUCAAAUCUUCGGAGCCUUGGGAUGAGCCUGCGUCUGAUUAGGUAGUUGGCGGAGUAAUAGCCCACCAAGCCUACGAUCAGUAGCUGGUCUGAGAGGAUGAUCAGCCACACUGGAACUGAGACACGGUCCAGACUCCUACGGGAGGCAGCAGUAAGGAAUAUUGCUCAAUGGGGAAACCCUGAAGCAGCAACGCCGCGUGAAGGAUGAAAUACUUUGUAUGUAAACUUCUAGUAAGAUGGGAAAAAUAUUACUCCUCGGGAGAAUUGAUUGUACCAUCAGAGUAA
rnacentral:rRNA from 1 species